rnacentral:rRNA from 1 species
AUGUUAAUAGCAUAUUCAUUUGACGUUAGCUGCAGAAGAAGCACCGGCUAACUCCGUGCCAGCAGCCGCGGUAAUACGGAGGGUGCGAGCGUUAAUCGGAAUUACUGGGCGUAAAGCGCAUGCAGGUGGUUUGUUAAGUCAGAUGUGAAAGCCCCGGGGCUCAACCUCGGAAUUGCAUUUGAAACUGGCAAACUAGAGUACUGUAGAGGGGGUAGAAUUUCAGGUGUAGCGGUGAAAUGCGUAGAGAUCUGAAGGAAUACCGGUGGCGAAGGCGGCCCCCCUGGACAGAUACUGACACUCAGAUGCGAAAGCGUGGGGAGCAAACAGGAUUAGAUACCCCUGGUAG